rnacentral:rRNA from 1 species
UACGUAGGUGGCGAGCGUUGUCCGGAUUUACUGGGCGUAAAGGGAGCGUAGGCGGACUUUUAAGUGAGAUGUGAAAUACCCGGGCUCAACUUGGGUGCUGCAUUUCAAACUGGAAGUCUAGAGUGCAGGAGAGGAGAAUGGAAUUCCUAGUGUAGCGGUGAAAUGCGUAGAGAUUAGGAAGAACACCAGAGGCGAAGGCGAUUCUCUGGACUGUAACUGACGCUGAGGCUCGAAAGCGUGGGGAGCAAACAGGAUUAGAUA